rnacentral:tRNA from 1 species
GCGGGUGUCGUAUAGUGGCUAUUAUAUCACCUUGCCAAGGUGGAGACGGGGGUUCGAUUCCCCUCACCCGCU